rnacentral:rRNA from 1 species
UCGCCUGUUUAUCAAAAACAUCGCCUCUUGCAAAAUCAAUGAAUAAGAGGUCCCGCCUGCCCUGUGACUAUAAGUUUAACGGCCGCGGUAUUUUGACCGUGCGAAGGUAGCGCAAUCACUUGUCUUUUAAAUGGAGACCUGUAUGAAUGGCAUAACGAGGGCUUAACUGUCUCCUCUUUCAAGUCAAUGAAAUUGAUCUCCCCGUGCAGAAGCGGGGAUAAGCACAUAAGACGAGAAGACCCUAUGGAGCUUUAGACACCAAAGCAGACCAUGUUAAGCACCCCUAAACAAGGGAUUAAACCAAAUGAUCCCUGCCCUAAUGUCUUUGGUUGGGGCGACCGCGGGGAAACACAAAACCCCCACGUGGAACGAGGGCACCCCCUCUCACAGCCAAGAGCUCCCGCUCUAGUAAACAGAAAUUCUGACCAUCUAGAUCCGGCAAAGCCGAUCAACGGACCGAGUUACCCUAGGGAUAACAGCGCAAUCCCCUUUUAGAGGCCAUAUCGACAAGGGGGUUUACGACCUCGAUGUUGGAUCAGGACAUCCUAAUGGUGCAGCCGCUAUUAAGGGUUCGUUUGUUCAACGAUUAAAGUCCUACGUGAUCUGAGUUCAGACCGGA